ensembl:antisense Gm20628 predicted gene 20628
GAUGUUGCACCAGAGCGCUGCAGGGUAACAGACUCAUCAUGGCUUAACCUUACCUGCUAGAUCAGACCCUUAGUGCUUACAGUCUUUUUUUGAGAACUAAAGUGGCUCUGAAAAGAGCCUUUUGGGUAAAGCCGAUCAAUCACGUCUCUGCUGCACUUCACUUGGAGCUGGUGUACUUGGUGACGGCCUUGGUGCCUUCCGACACAGCGUGUUUAGCCAACUCUCCCGGCAGCAGCAGACGCACGGCUGUCUGGAUCUCCCGGGAAGUGAUGGUCGAGCGCUUGUUGUAAUGCGCCAGACGGGAAGCCUCACCUGCGAUGCGCUCGAAGAUAUCGUUCACGAAGGAAUUCAUGAUUCCCAUAGCCUUAGAUGAGAUGCCCGUGUCGGGGUGCACUUGCUUCAGGACCUUGUACACGUAGACAGAAUAGCUCUCCUUGCGGCUGCGCUUGCGCUUCUUGCCAUCUUUCUUCUGCACUUUCGUGACAGCUUUCUUAGAGCCCUUCUUUGGGGCAGGAGCAGACUUCGCUGGAUCCGGCAUUUUCCUCCGCGUCUAAAGAUGCAACGUAAGGUAGACCGGGCAACUACGAACUGUUUCAGCGCGGCUUGCUAUGCGGUACUUAUAGAGCUUGUAUGCAAAUGAGGUUUCACACGGUAUUCCAUUUUUAUUGGUUGAUUUACAGCAGAGUCAGCGUCAAGGAGGCGGAGCCUACUCAAACCGAUUCUGGUUGCGAGCCUUGGUGGUGCUUAGAGGAAAUUCUUUCUAGCCAAUCGCAGCCUUCCAUUUCAUGCUAGCCUGUUAUUGAGAGCGGCAGUUUUGCCUCAGCUGUUCUUUAUGUUCCCUUCGCUUACAGAUCCUUAAAACACCAGGUUGAAAUAAGUUAACUAUCGCUCUUAGGUAUCACGCUUGGAAUUUUGGGGCUAUUUUUCAGGUUCACAGUUCUGAGAACCUAAUUAGAACUCCUUUUUUGGACUGGCCCAUAUUUGAGUAGUGAGCUCAAGACCAGCUCUAAAUGGAAUAAACCUGGGAUAAGGAAUGUGAUUACUGGUAACUGUUAGGCCUGACACACUUGAGGGCGUAUUUGAAACACUGAAAAUCAAUUUGCAAAGCUGACACAGCUACUUUCAUCGACAACGUAGGUGGCUCUGAAAAGAGCCUUUGUGGGGGAUGGAAGGGAAACAGGGCGCUUAAGCGCGCUCCCCACGGAUGCGGCGGGCCAACUGCCUGCGCGAUCUCGCGCACCAGGCGCUGGAACGGCAGCUUGCGGAUCAGCAGCUCGGUCGACUUCUGGUAGCGCCGGAUCUCCCGCAGCGCCACGGUGCCGGGCCGGUAGCGGUGCGGCUUCUUCACGCCGCCCGUGGCCGGGGCGCUCUUGCGGGCGGCCUUGGUGGCCAGCUGCUUGCGCGGGGCCUUGCCGCCGGUGGACUUGCGGGCGGUCUGCUUCGUACGGGCCAUAUUUUUGCGACUUCGGCUUGCAGACGCCAAGUGGCCAUACUUAUAGACUUAUCUUCGUCUUGAUUGGGCCCAGAAAGCAGGAGUUUCUGGACUUGCAGUCUGAUUGGGUAGAAUUCGAUCCUAUUUGCUGAGUUUCAAGAUGGUUACACUAUUCCUUCUCUCCUGAUACUUUUCCUUCCUGUAUUUAUGAACCGCAGAGGGUUUUAAAAAGAUAGUGCUUUUCAGUUGAUGUAACUUUCCUAAAUGCAGUGUUUAAAGUGUUUCUCACGCAGUGUGCUCUUCUAACAGGUUUCUUUGGAAACAAACUUGCCCUUUUCAUGUUCUGCGAUUCACUUUGUAGCGAGUCACCAGAUACUGUAGCUCUUCUCUGACAGUUAGCAUUUAUUUAACUUCAGGCUUUGUGCCCAGUGAUUUGAACGCAUUGUACCACGGCCGAAAGAUGACAAAACGAUGUAUAGUGAAAGGAACCAAAUGCAAACUUAAGUUUUACCUAUUUCGAAACCCUACCAAAGCCGGUCUUACAUUUACUGCACACUGACUAUCGUUAUGUAUGGCGCUCCCGCCUUUCCUUCUGUCUAGAGUGCGUUCCUUCCACCUCCCUUCUACACUAACGGCCAAUUAAGUCCUGCAGAUGAAAUGUUUAUAUAACAGAAGGAUAAGACUAGAAGUAUUAAUACCGCCUUUCCAGUGGAGAACAGCUACUAAAUAGUUAAACCUGUCAUCUAGAUGACAAGUCAAAAUAACUUUCAAAGCAAAUGAGCACUUAUUUAUUUGAUUCUUUUUCCUUUUCUUUUCGAGACAGGGUUUCUCUGUGUAGCCCUGACUGUCUUGGACCUCACUCUGUAGACCAGGCCGGACUCGAACUCAGAAAUCCACCUGCCUCUGCUUCCCAAGUGCUGGGAUUAAAGGCGUGGGCCACCACAGGAUUUCUGUAUGUAGCCUUGGGUUCCUGAAACUCCCAUCUGUAGACCAGGCUGGCCUGUUUCUGCCUCCUGAGUGCUGAGAUUAAAGGUGUGUGCUACUAUGGCCUGGUUCAAAGUAAAGCUUUUAAUAGCAUGCCUGAUUUUUUGGUAAAAAAGCAUUGUAUACCAACCUUCUUAAAAUUCAAACCCAAAAGUAAAAAUAGGCCCAAGAUAUUUAAAACUUUCCUAGAGCUGACAAAAAUGUAUUAUCUUUUCGCUGAAAUUCAAGUAAAAUGAAAUUGAUUUUAAGGAGAUUCCAAAAUACUAAACACAGGUAGCAGUUUGGCAGUUUAAUUAAUUUAAGAAUCCUUCAGGAGCAGAAGUAACCUCCAAAAUAUGGCACAAAAGUAUCACUGAUGGGAGCUGUUACCUUCCUGUGGUCAUUUCUUAACAGCCGGCAAUGCUUCCUAUAAAAGUGGAUCAGUAGGUAAAGCCUUGAAACACAGAAACAUCUUCAUAUCGUACAAUCAAACCAUUCAGGGCUUCUCAAACGCUGCUGACCUUUCCCAUUAGAAGGGGACCUGCCCUGUGGGGCUGGAUGGUGCCCACACCAGGUAUCGUGUUUCCUGGUAAGAUUUUCUUUGUAAUGUAUGUACUGGAGCACAAAGCAUGUGGGUGUUUAUUUAAAUCAGAAAGAGAUUCUCAAACUUCAGACUCU